UCUUUAAGUCCUUCCUUAGCCCAUGCCCGCUUGAAACUUUGAAACUGAGCGUGCGCUUCUCUGUUUUGCUGAACGUGGCUCUGAGAUUGAAUCUGGCAUUUUAGAAAAGUUUGAAUCGCUAAGUUGUUGAGAAGUGUAAGUUGAAGACAGCAGCUAAAAUGACUGGCACUCGAGAAGGAAGUUGGAUUCUGCAGUUGUAAAUGCCACAUCAGCAAUGAUUGUGGGAUCAAGCAUGCAAAAUAAGUACACAGCAUUUGUGACACCCUCCCCAUGUCAGUUAAAUGGAUCUGGCUAAGCAUGGAAGGCCUGCC